rnacentral:rRNA from 1 species
GAUCAUGGCUCGAGGACGAACGCUGGCGGCGUGCUUAGCACAUGCAAGUCGAACGAGAAUCUGCGGAAAGAGGAUUCGUCCAAUAGAAGCAGAGGACAGUGGCGGACGGGUGAGUAACGCGUGAGGAACCUGCCUUUCAGAGGGGGGACAACAGUUGGAAACGACUGCUAAUACCGCAUGACACAUUGAGGUGGCAUCAUCUGAAUGUCAAAGAUUUAUCGCUGAAAGAUGGCCUCGCGUCUGAUUAGCUAGUUGGUGAGGUAACGGCCCCACCAAGGCGACGAUCAGUAGCCGGACUGAGAGGUUGACCGGCCACAUUGGGACUGAGAUACGGCCCAGACUCCUACGGGAGGCAGCAGUGGGGAAUAUUGGGCAAUGGGGGAAACCCUGACCCAGCAACGCCGCGUGAAGGAAGAAGGCCUUCGGGUUGUAAACUUCUUUUAGCAGGGACGAAGGACGUGACGGUACCUGCAGAAAAAGCAACGGCUAACUACGUG